AUAUAAAGGAUCCAAAAGUGGGGAACAGAUUAUUGUUCAGAAUCAAAUUCAGCAGCAUUAAAGAAAACGACGCGAUGAAAUUCUCCAAGAUUUUCCUUCCAAUCCUCGCCUUGUUGGUGGCAUCCCUCUUUUCAGUCCAUGGAGCGGGUGAGCAAGCUGGAAAGGGCAAAGAAGCAAAGUGGUUUUUCCCCGGAUUUUGGAUUCCUCUUCCAAGUUUGAACCCAUCUACCACCACCGUCGCCCCGACAACCACACCAACAACCACAACCACAUAACCGGCUCCAAAAUACAGUCACAUUUAGCCUUUAUUAGUAAAAAAAAUAAAGAAUCAGCAAUUUAAAGCAAAA